rnacentral:misc_RNA from 1 species
AAAAUUUUUUUAUUAAGAGUGCAAUGUAUAAGCAAUUGAAAAUAUGCAAGAAAACUUAGCAAUGAAAAUGACACAGAAAAUAACAAGAAGGAAACAAUCAGAAGAAAAUUUACUUGAAUUGGACAUGCAUGGCAGGUGAGUAGGGUGGGUAAAUCAAGUUGAGAUGGUAACAGGUUGGGUACUUACAAAUUUUAAAAUAUCCAUUCCAAAUCCGAACACGUGGCAUAUAAGAGCUACUUGAACUAUCCCAAACCCAAAUAAAAUACAUUUUUUAUUAUCUAAACCCAUCCCAAAUCCGAUUACUAAUACCAUUUAAAUCCAUAUAACUGGGGCAUGUUGGGUAUUUGAAAAGCAAACUGUUUCCCGUUUCAAAUUGACUGGAGAAACCAAAUGACGACAAGUGUUUGAUUUGUUGACAUAGAUAACUCUUCUGUUCAGAUGACAAAAAAU